rnacentral:misc_RNA from 1 species
CCAAUAGCGUAUAUUAAAGUUGUUGCAGUUAAAAAGCUCGUAGUUGAAUUUCGGGACCAAUCUGCCGGUCGUGCCUCCGGUACGCACUGGUUUUAUUGGUUUCUCCCUUCUGACGAACCAUGAUGUCAUUAAUUUGGUGUCAUGGGGAAUCAGGACUGUUACUUUGAAAAAAUUAGAGUGUUUAUAGCAGGCUCACGCUUGAAUACAUUAGCAUGGAAUAAUGAAAUAGGACGUUUGACCCUAUUUUGUUGGUUUCUAGGAUCGGCGUAAUGAUUAAUAGGGAUAGGUUGGGGCAUUAGUAUUCAAUUGUCAGAGGUGAAAUUCUUGGAUUUAUUGAAGACUAACUACUGCGAAAGCAUUUGCCAAGGAUGUUUUCAUUAACCAAGAACGAAAGUUAGGGGAUCGAAGACGAUCAGAUACCGUCGUAGUCUUAACCAUAAACUAUGCCGACUAGGGAUCGGAUGAUGUUAAUUUUUUAAUGACUCAUUCGGCGCCUUACG